AACCUCGAUACAUUCAUUAGUAU
rnacentral:siRNA from 1 species